CCGGCACGGGUGAGUAACGCGUAUGCAACUUGCCUAUCAGAGGGGGAUAACCCGGCGAAAGUCGGAAUAAUACCGCAUGAAGCAGGGAUCCCGCAUGGGAAUAUUUGCUAAAGAUUCAUCGCUGAUAGAUAGGCAUGCGUUCCAUUAGGCAGUUGGCGGGGUAACGGCCCACCAAACCGACGAUGGAUAGGGGUUCUGAGAGGAAGGUCCCCCACAUUGGUACUGAGACACGGACCAA
rnacentral:rRNA from 1 species